rnacentral:rRNA from 1 species
UCCUGGCUCAGGAUGAACGCUAGCGGCAGGCUUAACACAUGCAAGUCGAGGGGCAGCAUGAUGUAGCAAUACAUUGAUGGCGACCGGCGCAAGGGUGCGUAACGCGUGAGUAACAUGCCCGUAUCAGGGGGAUAACCCGAAGAAAUUCGGACUAAUACCCCAUAGUAAUUUGUGGAGGCAUCUCUAUGAAUUUAAAGCUCCGGCGGAUACGGAUUGACUCGCGUGACAUUAGCUAGAUGGUAAGGUAACGGCUUACCAUGGCUACGAUGUCUAGGGGUUCUGAGAGGAAGGUCCCCCACACUGGAACUGAGACACGGUCCAGACUCCUACGGGAGGCAGCAGUGAGGAAUAUUGGUCAAUGGUCGAAAGACUGAACCAGCCAUGCCGCGUGAAGGUCACGGCCCUAUGGGUCUUAAACUUCUUUUGUAAGGGAGCAAUAAGGCGUACGUGUACGUCGAUGAGAGUACCUUACGAAUAAGCAUCGGCUAACUCCGUG